AUACGUAGGGAGCGAGCGUUGUCCGGACUUACUGGGCGUAAAGGGAGCGUAGGCGGGAGUGUAAGUCAGAUGUGAAAUACAUGGGCUCAACCCAUGGGCUGCAUUUGAACCUGCAUUUCUUGAGUGAAGUAGAGGAAAGCGGAAUUCCCGGUGUAGCGGGGAAAUGCGUAGAUAUCAGGAGGAACACCGGUGGCGAAGGCGGCUUACUGGGCUUUUACUGACGCUGAGGCUCGAAAGCGUGGGGAGCAAACAGGAUUAGAUACCCUGGUAGUCCACGCUGUAAACGAUGAUUACUAGGUGUGGGGGGACUGACCCCUUCCGUGCCGCAGUUAACACAAUAAGUAAUCCACCUGGGGAGUACGGCCGCAAGGUUGAAACUCAAAUGAAUUGACGGGG
rnacentral:rRNA from 1 species